GCUAGAGGCAGUUCCUUACGGUUAGGUUCUCCUCGGAAUUUGUAUGCAAACGGGUUCAGCUGGUCUAUUUGGGAAACAUCAACCGCAGUGCACGUACCAUCGGAGUCGUUGGAAAGCCCAUACUGGACUAUACGUGAUGACGCAAAGGAAAUGUACCGGAGCUGACAAUGAAAAAAUGGCUGGGAAGGAAGCGAGCUGGUGAAGAUGAUGCAUAAUGUAAAACCCCGAGACUAGGGAACACGAAAGGACAGGCACAACACGAAGUCUCAAACGCAGCUGAAAAUUUUACUUCUAUACAACCAGAGGGAAGGGAACAACCAGUGGAGGACAAAAAGGGUCAGUUCGGGGGAACAAGAGGUCUGCUCAAGGCGCUCAUCAUAAGGAACAGCCCUGUUUACUGAUCCCGAGGUUCGAACACGGACCAGAGACGACAGCAACCCCAUCAUGUAAAAACCACGAAUUUAUAUUACGGGUACACUGUUGCCACUCCUGCAGGCAGACCGUCCAUCUUUAAAAUACACGAAACGUCGAAGGCUGCACAGUGGAUUGAGUAUGAAACAUUACGAUAAGGGAUCGCUCAAUUGCCCUAGUCCAAAUAUCCGUCAACUUCACGUGAAAAAAAAAAAAAGAAAAGAAAAAGUCAAAUUCCAAUUUCAUGUCCAUAAACGACGUCAUCUAACCUAUUGUCCUAAUGCCUUGGUACACCUGUGUCUCAGUGGGAACUAUACCUAUGGCAGGCCUGUAUACCGCCUUUCGGAGCUAGGAGUACCUCAAUCCUACAACCAUAAUGGAGAACCAGGAGCUCUUCUAAGCAGACGCGGCUUUCAGUACCGAAAUCUAGUUUCGCGUCGUGUUCAACGUGGGCUUGUAUACCCAGGGGUCACAACGAAUCUUUCUGGAACUCGUUCCGACAUGAGCAACCUCUGAGGCGUUUAAUUAAAUUGUAAAAUGUGAAACAUUUACUGUAAAGUACUGAGCUACAUUCGUAGGUGACAAUAAGAACCGGUAAGAACUGAUGAUGAUGACGAA